GUUGCAAUACUCUGUGUCUACUCUCUAACGCGUAAGACAGAAACCCUAACGCCUAAACCUAACGCCUCUCUCGUCGACCUCCAGUAGUCCAACACCAGCAGUAACCUAAUGCCCCUCUCGUCGACUUCUAGCAGUCCAACACCAGCAGUAACCUAACGCCCCUCUCGUCGACUUUCAGCAGUCCAGCACCAACAGGAGAAGAAGUAGAGAUGGAAGUUGGAACUGGAUAAUGUGGGACGCAGGAACAGUUGCAGAAAACAAAUGUGUAUAUUUUUAAAAUGGACGGUGUUCGUUUUAAUACUCUGCUUUGGGUUUGGGAUGUGUUGUAGCGUACAAUUUAGUGAUUUACAAAUGUGUUCUGCUUUUUCACUCAUUGUUAUGUAGGCAGACCAGCAGUUUCGAUUUCUACAUGUAAACUCAAUGUGUAAUUUUGAUUUUUAAAUUUGUAUGCUAGACUGUUAGCAAACAA